GAAACUUAAAGGAAUUGACGGGGGCCCGGCACAAGCGGUGGAGCAUGUGGUUUAAUUCGAUGAUACGCAGGAACCUUACCUGGGCUCAAAUGUAUGUUGACGUAUUCUGAAAGGGAUACUUCUUCGGACAAUAUACAAGGUGCUGCAUGGUUGUCGUCAGCUCGUGCCGUGAGGUGUCGGGUUAAGUCCCAUAACGAGCGCAACCCCUAUCAUUAGUUGCCAUCAGGUCAAGCUGGGGACUCUAAUGAAACUGCCUACGCAAGUAGUGAGGAAGGUGGGGAUGACGUCAAAUCAGCACGGCCCUUACGUCCAGGGCUACACACGUGCUACAAUGGUCGGUACAAAGGGUUGCCAAGCCGCGAGGUGGAGCUAAUCCCAUAAAACCGAUCGUAGUCCGGAUCGCAGUCUGCAACUCGACUGCGUGAAGUCGGAAUCGCUAGUAAUCGUGAAUCAGAAUGUCACGGUGAAUACGUUCCCGGGCCUU
rnacentral:rRNA from 1 species